rnacentral:lncRNA from 1 species
ACAAACCAAAACAGACAACAAAUUAGAAAAACAAACCAAAUGGUCCUAUAAUUCCAUCUCAUUUAGUUCAUCAAACCAAUACAGGGUGAAAAUCUCAAUCUUCAUCUCUUUCAUUUUCAUUUGAUCUUCAUCUUCAUUAUCAACCCAAUGGUCCUUGAAUUAUGACAUAUUUUUGUGAAAGAUCUAGAAGGUUCAAACCCAGAUCUAUAAUUGAUGUGACUGAUUUUGGUCUUGAUCACCAUGGAUGUUUAAAUCAAGGGCUCGAUUUGGGUUUGAUCUUACGCUCGGUGUUAGAUCUGUUAUGGGUUUUUUUCUUUAAUUUUUCUAUGUUUGGUGUAUGAGACAAUAGAUGGGUUUGAUCUUAUGCUUGAUUUAUUUGAUUGUGGUUUGGAAUUUAUGGAUGUUGAGAUUUCUGAAAUUCUAGGUUUGGGUUUUUGGUUCUUCCUCUGAUCAUGAU